UACGGAGGGUGCAAGCGUUAAUCGGAAUAACUGGGCGUAAAGCGCACGCAGGCGGUCGGAUAAGUCAGAUGUGAAAGCCCCGGGCUCAACCUGGGAACUGCAUUUGAAACUGUUCGACUAGAGUCUUGUAGAGGGGGGUAGAAUUCCAGGUGUAGCGGUGAAAUGCGUAGAGAUCUGGAGGAAUACCGGUGGCGAAGGCGGCCCCCUGGACAAAGACUGACGCUCAGGUGCGAAAGCGUGGGGAGCAAACAGG
rnacentral:rRNA from 1 species